AGGUCAGUAGUUCAAGGGCAGAACGGUGGUCUCCAAAACCGCAUGUUGGGGGUUCGAGUCCCUCCUGGCCUG
rnacentral:tRNA from 2 species